rnacentral:rRNA from 1 species
UCGGGAAUAUUGCGCAAUGGAGGAAACUCUGACGCAGUGACGCCGCGUGCAGGAAGAAGGUUUUCGGAUUGUAAACUGCUUUAGACAGGGAAGAAAAAAGACAGUACCUGUAGAAUAAGCUCCGGCUAACUACGUGCCAGCAGCCGCGGUAAUACGUAGGGAGCAAGCGUUAUCCGGAUUUAUUGGGUGUAAAGGGUGCGUAGACGGGAAUGCAAGUUGGUUGUGAAAUCCCUCGGCUUAACUGAGGAACUGCAACCAAAACUACAUUUCUUGAGUGCUGGAGAGGAAAGUGGAAUUCCUAGU